rnacentral:tRNA from 1 species
UUCCCGAGUGGCCAAAGGGGACAGACUGUAAAUCUGCUGGCAAUAGCCUGUCACGCUAGAGGUCGUCGGUUCGAACCCGAUCCGGGUCGCCA